rnacentral:rRNA from 1 species
GACGAACGCUGGCGGCGUGCCUAAUACAUGCAAGUCGAACGCAGUGGGGACGGGUGAGUAACACGUGGGUAACCUCCCAUCAGAGGGGAUAACACUUGGAAACAGGUGCUAAACCGAUACUGAUGGAUGGACCCGCGGUGCAUUAGCUAGUUGGUGAGGUAACGGCUCACCAAGGCCACGAUGCAUAGCCGACCGGAGCGGGGGAUCGGCAAAACGGGAACGGAGAAACGGCCCAGACUCCUAGGGGAGGCAGAAGUAGGGAAUCUUCGGCAAUGGACGAAAGUCUGACCGGGCAACGCCGCGGGAGUGAAGAAGGUUUUCGGAUCGUAAAACUCUGUUGUUAGAGAAGCGGUAUCUAACCAGAAAGCCACGGCUAACUACGUGCCAGCAGCCGCGGUAAUUC